ACCUGGGUGGCUCAGUCGGUUGAGCGUCUGACUUCAGCUCAGGUCAUGAUCUCACAGUUCGCGGGGUUCGAGCCCCGCGUCGGGGC
rnacentral:tRNA from 1 species